UACGGAGGAUGCAAGCGUUAUCCGGAAUGAUUGGGCGUAAAGCGUCCGUAGGUGGCGAUUCAAGUCUGCUGUUAAAGCGCAGGGCUUAACCCUGUAAAGGCGGUGGAAACUGGAGAGCUAGAGUGUGGUAGGGGUAGAGGGAAUUCCCGGUGUAGCGGUGAAAUGCGCAGAUAUCGGGAAGAACACCCGUGGCGAAGGCGGCUCUCUGGAACGCAACUGACGCUGAGACGCGAAAGCGUGGGGAGCAAACGGG
rnacentral:rRNA from 1 species